rnacentral:rRNA from 1 species
GGGAAUCUACCCUGAACUGCGGAAUAGCUCCGGGAAACUGGAAUUAAUACCGCAUGUGCCCUGAGGGGCAAAGAUUUAUCGGUUCAGGAUGAGCCCGCGUCCGAUUAGCUAGUUGGUGGGGUAAAGGCCUACCAAGGCGACGAUCGGUAGCUGGUCUAAGAGGAUGAUCAGCCACAUUGGGACUGAGACACGGCCCAAACUCCUACGGGAGGCAGCAGUGGGGAAUAUUGGACAAUGGGCGCAAGCCUGAUCCAGCCAUGCCGCGUGAGUGAUGAAGGCCCUAGGGUUGUAAAGCUCUUUCAGUGGGGACGAUAAUGACGGUACCCACAGAAGAAGCCCCGGCUAACUUCGUGCCAGCAGCCGCGGUAAUACGAAGGGGGCUAGCGUUGUUCGGAAUUACUGGGCGUAAAGCGCACGUAGGCGGACAUUUAAGUCAGGGGUGAAAUCCCGGGGCUCAACCCCGGAACUGCCUUUGAUACUGGGUGUCUUGAGUUCGGAAGAGGUGAGUGGAAUUGCGAGU